AUGACUCUCAUCACCAUCCUCAUCUGGACGCUGACCUGCUGCUGUUUUACAGGAUGCAGCGGUCAGGUGACUGUGACUCAACCUCCAGUACUGACAUCUACUCCUGGAUCCACUGUCACUCUGACCUGUAGGACCAGCCAAGCUGUUCACAGAUUUGAUGAUGGUGAUGAUGCUAUGUACUGGUAUCAACAGAAACCUGGACAGGCCCCAAAACUCCUAAUAAAAUGGGCAAAAACGCUUGAGUCAGGAACACCAUCUCGAUUUAGUGGCAGUGGAAGCAGCUCUGACUUCUCUAUGACCAUCAGUGGAGUUCAGGCCGAAGAUGCAGCAGUUUACUACUGUAAGAGUUACCAUGAAAUAAACAGUGCUGCAGUGUUUACACAGUGA